rnacentral:rRNA from 1 species
GACGAACGCUGGCGGCGUGCCUAACACAUGCAAGUCGAGCGGAGUCAGUAAGAGGAAGUUUUCGGAUGGAAUCUUAUUGAUUUAGCGGCGGACGGGUGAGUAACGCGUGAGCGACCAACCUUGCACAGGGGGAUAACGGACCGAAAGGUUCACUAAUACCGCAUGAGACCACGGUGUUGCAUGACACAGAGGUCAAAGGAGGAAUCCGGUGCAAGACGGGCUCGCGCCCGAGUAGGUAGUUGGAGGGGUAACGGCCCACCAAGCCCAUGGUCAGUAGCCGACCUGAGAGGGUGAUCAGCCACAGUGGAACGUCGAUACCGGCCAAACGCCUACGGGAGGCAGCAGUGGGGAAUAUUGGGCAAUGGGGGAAACCCUGACCCAGCAACGCCGCGUGAAGGAAGAAGGUUUUCGGAUUGUAAACUUCUGUCCUUGGUGAAGAGAAGAAGACGUUAGCCAAGGAGGAAGCCCCGGCUAACUACGUGCCAGCCGCCGCGGUAAAAC